rnacentral:tRNA from 1 species
AGAAUAGUAUUUAAAAAUUAUAAAAUCUAACCUGCAAUUAGAAGUUGCUACCGCCUGUUCUA